UUCUUCGGGGUCGGGUGUAAUUCCCAACCGGCGGUAUAGUCCGCGACCUGCUAUUUUCGGAUAGUGGCUGAACUGGUGCAAUUCCAGUACCGACAGUAAAGUCUGGAUGAAAGAAGAA
rnacentral:ncRNA from 1 species